rnacentral:snRNA from 1 species
AUAUUUACCUGGAAAUGAAGAUACCAUGAUCAUGAAGGUGGUUUUCCCAGAGUGAGGCUUACCUACUGCACUCUGGAUAUGCUGACCCCUGGGAUUUCCUGAGGGGGGGGCGGGUCUCAGC